GAUUCCAUUGUGAUUAAGGCUAUAAUAUUAGGUAU
rnacentral:tRNA from 1 species